UACGAAGGGGGCUAGCGUUGUUCGGAAUUACUGGGCGUAAAGCGCACGUAGGCGGAUACUUAAGUCAGGGGUGAAGUCCCGGGGCUCAACCCCGGAACUGCCUUUGAUACUGGGUAUCUCGAGUCCGGAAGAGGUGAGUGGAAUUCCGAGUGUAGAGGUGAAAUUCGUAGAUAUUCGGAGGAACACCAGUGGCGAAGGCGGCUCACUGGUCCGGUACUGACGCUGAGGUGCGAAAGCGUGGGGAGCAAACAGG
rnacentral:rRNA from 1 species